UACCUGUCAGCUUUGAGUGAGCGACCGGUUGGAAACAACCGAAAACAGUAACAGGAAUUGAACUGAAGAGUUUGAUCCUGGCUCAGAUUGAACGCUGGCGGCAUGCCUUACACAUGCAAGUCGAACGGCAGCACGGGCUUCGGCCUGGUGGCGAGUGGCGAACGGGUGAGUAAUACAUCGGAACAUGUCCU
rnacentral:rRNA from 1 species